AACCUCGUCAAGUCACAAAAACCCUGUGGGAGAAAAACUGAACCUUGAUCGUAGGAGAAAAAGAGUACAACGCACCUUUCACAUUUGAUAGUGACAUGUAUGUAUGUGCUAGACUCCCCCUGAAGUUCGCACCUCCCCCUGAUCUUUACAUCAAUCAUAGGGCUCUUCCUGAUUCUUACUAAUCAUGGAAGUUUCAAAAACUUAGCAUGUCAAUGCUCUUUAACAUGUCUUCAAAUGUGGCAUUAGACAAUGAUUAACUAAAUCAUGCCGUAUUGUCCUCAAAUGAUCUUUUACACUUAGAUCUUGAGGAGAAGGUCGCUUGUGAACUCAAAACAUAAGUUCGUGCAGGAAAUCAGGUUUCCGCGCAGCAUGACCUUCAAUUACUAGAAUAGUCGUAACUUCCUCUAGGAAAUACAUAUGAACGAAUCGUAAACGGUUUUGGAAACUAGACUCAUUUAGCUUUCCAACCGUAUAUUACACACAUUCUGGUUCAUCAGGAGCUGUUCACAAAAUCCCGUCGAAGUUGACUGUUUUGCCAAAAUCAGAUUCUCGGACAGAUUCGUCCUACUUUACGAAAACGGCCAUAACUCACUCAAUAUGAUAGGUAUGAUCAAAUGGUUGGUGUCCCUGGAAAGUAGACACAUAGACCUUUCCAAUGGUACCAAUUUCACCAUUUUCCAGUGAGUGAGAUUUUCUAUAGGUCCCGUGGAAGUUGACCUAUAAAACUUGGCAGAUUCUGAUUUCGCUUUUGAUGUGUCUUUCUUAUGUAGGGAUAAAAUAAGCCUCAACCUUUCAUACUAUUAAGUAUUGAAAAAAGGAGUUACUGUCAUUACAUUGGCGUUGCGUGGGCGCAUAGCUACACUUAGCUUUACAACUUUUCAUAGCGAUAGAGAUGUCAAGUCUUUCGUAUUGUGUUGAGUACAUUGAUGCGUCUUAUUGUACUUAGAUGGGAACUCCAUCUCUUAACACAUAUUUGUCAUCUUGCUUUAGACAAAACAACGGAUCUCUCUUUAGAGCAAAGACCUUGACUAAUCAUGGAAGUAUAUGUAGGCCUCACUAGUUAUAGAGCGCCUAAGCCGAUUGAUCAUCAAUACAGUCAUCUUAUCGAGACUGUGUCUUCCCAAGAUCUUUUUCUUCGGAUGUUAAUACAUAUUGGCAUCUCUUGAUCCAUCAAGAAUCCAUCUAAAUCCGGAAUGAACAUGCAAAGGCAUAAUUCACCAUAUCCCUUCCAAAUCAAGUAGAAUCCAUGUGCGUUUCAAUAGCUUUAGCAAACGUGUGCUACUGUGGUCUGGAGCCACUUGAUUCGGAUGAAUGAAGUCCGUUUAAGACCUUCAUGUAUAUCUCUGAUCCUGUAGAGAUGUUAUUAUGACCACAUUCAUAGGCUGUAUGUUCAGUUAUUCGGAAACUACCAAACUGACAAAGUAGUGGAGUUCAAUGACAUCUAUUACGAGAGCAUAUCUCAUCGUAGUUGAUCCCAGUGCGUGUUAGUGAGAGACCUUGCGCCAUAAGGUGAGUCUAAGCUCUUGUUCUCACUACGCUAUCUAACAAAGGUAUAGUUGAUAGGGUUUAGCUUGCGGUGUCGGCAUCACCUGUCCAAGGACCUAUCUCUUUGUUAAUGCUGGAUCGCAUCUUUCCAUUAGGCCAAUCAACUAAGUUGAUAUCCAUCAACGAAUGGUGGUUCGAUAGUAGACUCAUUAUCUCACGUCC
rnacentral:lncRNA from 1 species